UGAUAGCUGCUAGAGACACGUUAAUUUGGUAUUAGCGCUUCUUUCUUUUGGGGUAAAGCAAGUAUAUACUUUUGUGUAUAUAAACUACGUAGAAGCUCUGUAUUUGGGUACUGACCAGCAUGUUGUACUAGAUGAAUACACAUGAAAAGAUUUGGUUGGUUUGACUACCCUAUUUCCCAGGUAUGAGGCUGCGUGCUAUUGUGGGCGGUAGUCGGCAAUAGCACGGCCGUGUCACGGAUCCGGAUCCGGGGCGUGACAA
rnacentral:lncRNA from 1 species